rnacentral:rRNA from 1 species
AGUGAACGCUGGCGGUAGGCCUAACACAUGCAAGUCGAACGGCAGCACAGUAAGAGCUUGCUCUUACGGGUGCCGAGUGGCGGACGGGUGGGGAAUACAUCGGAAUCUACUUUUUCGUGGGGGAUAACGUAGGGAAACUUAAGCUAAUACCGCAUACGACCUACGGGUGAAAGCAGGGGAUCUUCGGACCUUGCGCGAUUGAAUGAGCCGAUGUCGGAUUAGCUAGUUGGCGGGGUAAAGGCCCACCAAGGCGACGAUCCGUAGCUGGUCUGAGAGGAUGAUCAGGCACACUGGAGCUGAGACACGGUUCAGAAUCCGACGGGAGGCAGCAGUGGGGAAGAUUGGACAAUGGGCGCAAGCCUGAUCCAGCCAUAACGCGUGGGUGAAGAAGGCCUUCGGGUUGUAAAGCCCUUUUGUGGGGAAAGAAAAGCAGCAGGUUAAUACCCCGUUGUUCUGACGGUACCCAAAGAAUAAGCACCGGCUAACUUCGU